GUUAUCUGUCUUCUGAGCACUGAAUCCUAGUUUUGUGCACAUUAUCUCAGAAACCACUUUUAACUCUUUUAAUCUCCCCUUUGAGCUUCUCAGUCUGCCUUCCUAUCUCCUUCAGGUAAUUUCCACGAUUCUGUGACCAUAAGGAAGUCACUGGUGGUCUGAGACUCUUUACUGUCUCCUUACUCUGCUUUUCUCUUAAAGGUCCAUCACAUGCAAACCGGCCGAUUCUAGAACCAACCCAAGACAAAACCCAGAAGUCAAGAAAAGGAGUGUGGGCUCCUCUUCCUUUCAUGUCCUAUCAUCUAUCCAGUCUUAUGGCUCCUUCAUGUCCAUGCAUGGGCAGUGGUUUCAAAAAGCUUCAAUCCUUCCUAUCCCUGAGAAAUCACAAUCAAACCAGCUCAGUCCCAGCAGGCAAGAUAGAUCCACUGGAUUA
rnacentral:lncRNA from 1 species